UACGUAGGGGGCAAGCGUUGUCCGGAAUUAUUGGGCGUAAAGGACGCGCGUGAGCGGUCCGAUAAGUCGGCUGUGAAAGUCGAGGGGCUCAACCCUUGAAAGCCGGCCGAUACUGUCGGACUAGAGUCCGGAAGAGGCAAGUGGAAUUCCCGGUGUAGCGGUGAAAUGCGCAGAUAUCGGGAGGAACACCAAUGGCGAAGGCAGCUUGCUGGGACGGUACUGACGCUGAGGCGCGAAAGCGUGGGGAGCAAACAGG
rnacentral:rRNA from 1 species